GACGAACGCUGGCGGCGUGCCUAACACAUGCAAGUCGAACGGAACUUUAUUGGAUGAGACUUCGGUUGAUGAAGAUAAAGUUUAGUGGCGGACGGGUGAGUAACGCGUGAGCAACCUGCCUUACAGAGGGGGACAACAGUUGGAAACGACUGCUAAUACCGCAUGAUAUAGCGAGAAGGCAUCUUCUUGCUAUCAAAGAUUUUANCGCUGUAAGAUGGCUCGCGUAUGAUUAGAUAGUUGGUGAGGUAACGGCUCACCAAGUCGACGAUCAUUAGCCGGACUGAGAGGUUGAACGGCCACAUUGGGACUGAGAUACGGCCCAGACUCCUACGGGAGGCAGCAGUGGGGAAUAUUGGGCAAUGGGCGCAAGCCUGACCCAGCAACGCCGCGUGAAGGAAGAAGGCUUUCGGGUUGUAAACUUCUUUUGUCAGGGACGAACACAAAUGACGGUACCUGACGAAUAAGCCACGGCUAACUACGUGCCAGCAGCC
rnacentral:rRNA from 1 species